rnacentral:tRNA from 1 species
GCCGAGAUAGCUCAAUGGUAGAGCGGUAGAUUGAAAAUCUAUAGGUUACGGGUUCGAUCCCCGUUCUUGGCA